rnacentral:rRNA from 1 species
UACGUAGGGUGCAAGCGUUGUCCGGAAUUACUGGGCGUAAAGCGCACGUAGGCGGUUCUUCAAGUCAGAGGUGAAAGCCCGGGGCUCAACCCCGGAACGGCCUUUGAAACUAGAUAGCUAGAAUCUUGGAGAGGUCAGUGGAAUUCCGAGUGUAGAGGUGAAAUUCGUAGAUAUUCGGAAGAACACCAGUGGCGAAGGCGACUGACUGGACAAGUAGUGACGCUGAGGUGCGAAAGCGUGGGGAGCAAACAGG